UUUGUAAGUUGCUUAAGUGAUCCAAAGAGUUGUUUAUGUGCACCGAAUGCAAUUCAAGUUCUUUCUUUUCACAAAUUUAGAGCCAUACAUAUGAAUGGGAAAUUAUACAUGUUUCUGUUCCAAAAUCAUGAUUAGGAAUAGGUAUGAUAUUUAAUUACAAAUUGCAAAACCAAGUUUUGACCAAAAGAAAAUGUCGUGUAACUUGAAUCCAUCCAACUAGAGAGAGAGUGUCGAACCAGAACCAUAGCUUACAUUGAAUUAAAUUCAUGCUAAGUGUGCAAGUCACUUUAUCGUCAUCCUCCUCGCGCUCGCACCAAGACGACUUGUGCAUAACCUGUAAGAAAAACAAAGGACAUAUUCAGUGAAAAUCCUGCAUUUUCUUGAUAAGCAGUAUACAUAGCCAUUUGGACUAUCAACCAAAGUCAAAAGAAAAAGAGUAAAUACCAGCUUAUAUCAAAACCCGUUUGAAACAAUAAAGAGAUAUUAAAAAGUUGAAAAUUGUUUGUUAAUGCUAAUGGGGACCACCCAAGCUUGACAGAUACGAAGACCUCACUAUAGACAAAAAUAAACCAAUUCAAACCUAACAGAUUGGCAAGAUACCAAAUCGUAGGGAGAUGAAAAUCUAACGGAAUGAUCCUAUAAUCCCUGCCAGCUCCCAAUCGAAAGAACCACAUGCACCCAUCUAUAAGAGAGGGAGUUCAAUCAUUGAAGAGGGGGGACCGUUAUUCUGCAAAAAUUUCCAAGAACACCUUUCAGAAAAGCUCACGAUUUUUUUAAAUCUACAUUAGAGUUUCACGCUGAAAUUCUAACGUCGAUGAGCUCAGACCAACACAGAAACUAAUAGCAAACAGAGAAGAGCAGAGAAGAAGAAGAAGGAGAAAGUUCGGAGAAAGGACUUAUCUGAACCGCGUCGAAGGAUAUCUCACCGUCGGAUCCGCUCUGACCAAGUAGCCUUUUUCUCCCUCUUUUACUUGAAACCUUUAAGUCGUUAUAUUCGUCGUUCUGAACUGAGUAAAACCCCUUUAACGAUUUUUGUAAAUUACAACUAGGGAGGUUUUAAUUUUGAAAUUAGGGUUUGGGGUUUGAAUUAUUUCUUGCUAUUGAUUUUGUUUUGAGUUGUCUGUUAGAAGGAAUCGAGGGUUUGUUAGGUUGCGUUGAAAGUUUAUUUCGUCGGAGUUUUGAAUUUUUGUCUGGUUGGGAGGGUCGAUCCAGUCGUUUGAGGAGGAUUUAGGAAAAGUUAAGGUCGGAUUUGGAUUCUCCGUCCAAAACAAGGUAGGGUUAGUAUUUGACGUUCCGGUUUUUGAGUGGUGGUUUGCCGGAGAAUAAGGUGGUGCCACCGUCGUUGGCCGGCAACCACCGUCUUCUCCGGCAGGUUGAUCGGAGGAGGGUGGGCUUGUUUGCAGAGUGUUUUAAGUUCUGAGAUGAGGAGAGAGAAAAGAGUUCAUCAAAUGAACUCAUUUUCUCAAAUGCUCAGGUUAAAUACCCCUAUUUAGCUCGAUGCAUGAGUGACAAGUGUCACUCCGGUGGUGAGCCUCGUCGGCGUUGACCAACGGUCAACCAGGCACUCUUAUGCAGUUGUACCACCAUCCAUUACCGUGUGCCCUCCUCAUCCGUUCGUUGAUUUGUUUGACCAGGUCAGAUCCACGGAUCUGACGGACGAUGGCGAUACAUGGGGUCAACAGGGUUGACCGAGCUCCCCUUUUAGUUUUGGGCCUAAGGUUCUCUGGCUAACCGGACCCCCCCCCCCUUUACUGUUAUGCAGUGCGCCCAGAUUUGGGCUUUUCCUCACUUUAAGCCCAUAUUUUUUGGUAGUUAC
rnacentral:lncRNA from 1 species